rnacentral:lncRNA from 1 species
AAUUGUUUGUAGCAGCAGCAAUUGUUUGAAAAUUGAACCCCUUCAGCUCGUGCUUCAUAUCUUUUGUUCUUCUUUUGCCAAUGAAAGUUGACAGACUAUCUCCAAGCUCAUUUACUAGGUUCUGUUGGUCCAUUCUGCCUUCAGCUAAUUAAGAUACAUAAGAAGGAUUUUUACAGACUAGUGAUUAGCAGCAGAAAAAAUAUCAAGAUUGAGAUAAGAAAAAUGUUUUGAGAAUAUGUGGUUCACAAGCCCAAUGUUGUGAGUGUUCUUUCAAAGCCCAGACAAAACACUUGGGUUACUCAGCCCUAUGCAACCAUCAGCAAGAAGAAGAGUAGGUCUGAAGAAAUAGUAGCUUCGUGAUCACGUAAAUUAAGUUCCAACUCUUUUCAAGUAGUCUCAACGUAUCAACAGUGCCGACCAGCCAGCAAUUAAUUAAGCACCGAGGCUCUCUCACUGUCUCUCUUUCUCUUUGAUGUCAAUUAAGCCUGGCUAGUUUUC